UAAUCUGAUUUAACCCUCGAUCACUGUUUAGCCGUAUGUAACGUAACACACACCAGAUAUUGAUUUAAUUGCUUCUUUCAUGCUUCUUGUAACCUUCUGUUGAUAUGACACACAUCUACAUCCAGUUUGGCUACAAGAAUCAAAUGUUUUGCGUUUUCUGAAGCAACAAACCAUCCAGGCAGAUAACAGCCCAGUAUUAUUAAUGCAUUUUUUUUUUAGACGUCCAUAUUUCACUGCAGAAUCAGCGGACAGAAGUAACUCUUGUGCAAAAGAGUUCAAGCAUCAAGAAUCCAAACCUGCAUGCAAACUUGCUGCUCUUCCAGAGUGUCUACUAGGUUCUCAUCAGCGACAUCCAGAGGGGUUUGGCCCUACAAGGACAUUCAAAGCGCAUGAGCUGACAUGAGGAGUCUCUCCAUGGCGUCCUCAGUGGCCACGUCCAGAGGGAGCUGACCUUCACUGUUCACUGCUCCAACAUGUGCACCGUGCUCGAUCAGUUCAGUGCGUGUUUGGUCAUGAGUAAAUGUCCAGUCUCUUGGAAGCUGAUGUGACGGUGUGGUGACGGCCGGCACUCACUUGGAGAUCUGGAUGAAGCCACAGGAAGCUGCGGCGUGGAGCGGAGUCCAGCCCUCGUUGUCCCCUCGGUUAACAUCGCUCCCGCUCUCCACCAGAAACUGCACCAUCUCAGCAUUUUCAUCAAUACAGGCCUGCCAGAGGACACACACACAGACACACACACACACACACACACACACACACACACACACACACACAUACAUACACAUUAUGAAUACAAGUGUCUGAUUAGGGAGACACA